UUUGGUGGAGCAUGUGGUUUAAUUCGAUGCAACGCGAAGAACCUUACCUACUCUUGACAUCCACAGAACUUAGCAGAGAUGCUUUGGUGCCUUCGGGAACUGUGAGACAGGUGCUGCAUGGCUGUCGUCAGCUCGUGUUGUGAAAUGUUGGGUUAAGUCCCGCAACGAGCGCAACCCUUAUCCUUUGUUGCCAGCGGUUCGGCCGGGAACUCAAAGGAGACUGCCAGUGAUAAACUGGAGGAAGGUGGGGAUGACGUCAAGUCAUCAUGGCCCUUACGAGUAGGGCUACACACGUGCUACAAUGGAAA
rnacentral:rRNA from 1 species